CCUAAGGUAGCGAAAUUCCUUGUCAGGUAAGUUCUGACCCGCACGAAUGGCGUAAUGAUUUGGGCACUGUCUCAACAGCCCGCCCGGCGAAAUUGUAGUACUGGUGAAGAUGCCAGUUACCCGCAACUAGACGGAAAGACCCCAUGGAGCUUUACUGCAGCUUAAUACUGAAAUUCGGUAGUACAUGUACAGGAUAGGUGGGAGACUGAGAAAUACAGGCGUCAGCUUGUAUGGAGUCGCUGUUGGGAUACCACUCUUGUACUGCUGGGUUUCUAACCUGCGGCCGUGAAUCCGGUCGGGGGACACUGUUAGGCGGGCAGUUUGACUGGGGCGGUCGCCUCCCAAAAGGUAACGGAGGCGCUCAAAGGUUCGUUCAGCACGGACGGAAAUCGUGCAAUGAGUGUAAACGCAUAAACGAGCCUAACUGCGACACCGACGGGUGGAGCAGUAACGAAAGUUGGAGUUAGUGAUCCGGUGGUAUGUGAGUGGAAAUGCCAUCGCUCAACGGAUAAAAGCUACCCUGGGGAUAACAGGCUGAUCUCCCCCAAGCGUCCACAGCGACGGGGAGGUUUGGCACCUCGAUGUCGGCUCGUCGCAUCCUGGGGCUGAAUUCGGUCCCAAGGGUUUGGCUGUUCGCCAAUUAAAGCGGCACGCGAGCUGGGUUCAGAACGUCGUGAGACAGUUCGGUCCCUAUCUGUUGCGGGCGUAAGAGAUUUGAAGGGAGCUGUCCUUAGUACGAGAGGACCGGGAUGGACGUACCUCUGGUGCACCAGUUGUCCUGCCAAGGGCAUAGCUGGGUAGCUAUGUACGGACGAGAUAAACGCUGAAAGCAUCUAAGCGUGAAACUCCCCCUAAGAUGAGAUCUCUCAUCCUUCAAGGAGUAAGGACCCAGAAAGACGAUCUGGUUGAUAGGCCGAAGGUGGAAGCGCAGUAAUGUGUGCAGCUGAUCGGUACUAAUAGUCCGAGGGCUUGACCUA
rnacentral:rRNA from 1 species